rnacentral:rRNA from 1 species
UACGAAGGGUGCAAACGUUGCUCGGAAUCACUGGGCGUAAAGCGCACGUAGGCGGCCCCAUAAGUCGGAUGUGAAAUCCCUCGGCUCAACCGAGGAAGUGCAUCCGAAACUGCGGGGCUCGAGUAUGGAAGAGGGUCGCAGAAUUCCCGGUGUAGAGGUGAAAUUCGUAGAUAUCGGGAGGAAUACCAGUGGCGAAGGCGCACAUCUGGCCCGAUACUGACGCUGAGGCGCGAAAGCUAGGGGAGCAAACAGG